rnacentral:rRNA from 1 species
ACCCGCUGAACUUAAGCAUAUCAAUAAGCGGAGGAAAAGAAACCAACAGGGAUUGCCCUAGUAACGGCGAGUGAAGCGGCAACAGCUCAAAUUUGAAAUCUGGCCUCGGCCCGAGUUGUAAUUUGCAGAGGAUGAUUUUGGCGCGGUGCCUUCCGAGUUCCCUGGAACGGGACGCCACAGAGGGUGAGAGCCCCGUAUGGUCGGACACCAAGCCUUUGUAAAUCUCCUUCGACGAGUCGAGUAGUUUGGGAAUGCUGCUCAAAAUGGGAGGUAAAUCUCUUCUAAAGCUAAAUAUUGGCCAGAGACCGAUAGCGCACAAGUAGAGUGAUCGAAAGAUGAAAAGCACCUUGAAAAGGGGGUUAAACAGUACGUGAAAUUGUUGAAAGGGAAGGGCUCGUGACCAGACUUGUGCCAGGCGGCUCAUCCGGCGUUCUCGCCGGUGCACUCCGCCUGGCUCAGGCCAGCAUCGGUUUUUGCCGGGGGAUAAGAGCUUCGGGAACGUGGCCCCCUUCGGGGGGUGUUAUAGCCCGUUGCACGAUGCCCUGGCGGGGACCGAGGUUCGCGCUCCGCAAGGAUGCUGGCGUAAUGGUCACCAACCACCCGUCUUGAAACACGGACCAAGGAGUCGUCCAUCAGAGCGAGCGUUUGGGUGCAAAACCCGCACGCGUAAUGAAAGUGAACGCAGGUGAGAGCUUCGGCGCAUCAUCGACCGAUCCUGAUGUAUUCGGAUGGAUUUGAGUAAGAGUUUUGCUGGACGGACCCGAAAGACAGUGAACUAUGCUUGUAUAGGGUGAAGCCAGAGGAAACUCUGGUGGAGGCUCGCAGCGGUUCUGACGUGCAAAUCGAUCGUCAAAUAUGAGCAUGGGGGCGAAAGACUAAUCGAACUGUCUAGUAGCUGGUUACCGCCGAAGUUUCCCUCAGGA